rnacentral:misc_RNA from 1 species
UCUCCGUAGGUGAACCUGCGGAGGGAUCAUUACUGAGUGAGGGCUACGGUCCGACCUCCAACCCUUUGUGAACCAAACUUGUUGCUUCGGGGGCGACCCUGCCGUUUCGACGGCGAGCGCCCCCGGAGGCCUUCAAACACUGCAUCUUUGCGUCGGAGUUUAAGUAAAUUAAACAAAACUUUCAACAACGGAUCUCUUGGUUCUGGCAUCGAUGAAGAACGCAGC